GGGUUGUGAGGUUAAGCGACUAAGCGUACACGGUGGAUGCCCUGGCAGUCAGAGGCGAUGAAGGACGUGCUAAUCUGCGAUAAGCGUCGGUAAGGUGAUAUGAACCGUUAUAACCGGCGAUUUCCGAAUGGGGAAACCCAGUGUGAUUCGUCACACUAUCAUUAACUGAAUCCAUAGGUUAAUGAGGCGAACCGGGGGAACUGAAACAUCUAAGUACCCCGAGGAAAAGAAAUCAACCGAGAUUCCCCCAGUAGCGGCGAGCGAACGGGGAGCAGCCCAGAGCCUGAAUCAGUGUGUGUGUUAGUGGAAGCGUCUGGAAAGGCGCGCGAUACAGGGUGACAGCCCCGUACACAAAAAUGCACAUACUGUGAGCUCGAUGAGUAGGGCGGGA
rnacentral:rRNA from 1 species